GUCCUUAUGUCUUCCAGUAUCCUGCUUAUGUCUGGAUUUUAUUCAUGGGAUUGCCUUUUAAAUUAUAGACUCGUAACUUAAAUUUCACUUUUUCUACUUGAUUUUGUUGAAUUGACCUAGUUUGUUCCUUGCUUUGAACUUCAUUUAUUUAUUUGAUCUUGUUAUUGUGUGUGUAUUUGUCUGUUCUUGUGUUCAUGUGUUGUAAAAUUAUUCCAUUCUUUUUGUUAACUUAUUAAAAUAUAUAUCUGCAUGUUUAUCUGUGUCAGCAUUUCCCUUGACUUUAGAACUUAGUUAUAUCAUUGAAGGACGUGUUUG
rnacentral:misc_RNA from 1 species